UCCGUUGGUGAACCAGCGGAUGGAUCAUUA
rnacentral:rRNA from 1 species